rnacentral:rRNA from 1 species
AUUGAACGCUGGCGGCAGGCCUAACACAUGCAAGUCGAGCGAGCGGCGGACGGGUGAGUAAUGUCUGGGAAACUGCCCGAUGGAGGGGGAUAACUACUGGAAACGGUCGCUAAUACCGCAUACUAUCCGAUGAACCCAUAUGGGAUGAGCUAGUAGGUGGGGUAACGGCUCACCUGGGCGACGAUCCCUAGCUGGUCGGAGAGGAUGACCAGCAACACUGGGACGGAGAAACGGUCCAGACUCCUACGGGAGGAAGCAGUGGGGAUGAUUGGACAAUGGGCGAAAGCCUGAUGCAGCCAUGCCGCGUGUUUGAAGAAGGCCUUCGGGUUGUAAAGCACUUUAAGCGGGGAGGCGUUACCCGCAGAAGAAGCACCGGCUAACUACGUGCCAGCAGCCGCGGUAAUUC